rnacentral:tRNA from 1 species
GGGGGCGUAGCUCAGCUGGGAGAGCGCUUGAAUGGCAUUCAAGAGGUCGUGAGUUCGAGCCUCAUCGUCUCCACCA